rnacentral:misc_RNA from 1 species
AAGUCGUAACAAGGUUUCCGUAGGUGAACCUGCGGAAGGAUCAUUACUGAGUUAGGGGUCUUCGUGGCCGACCUCCAACCCUUGUGUUAAACUACCACGUUGCUUCGGCGGGCCCGUCCUCUGAGGACCGCCGGGAGGUUUCCACCUCUCUGGCCCGUUGCCCGCGGUGGCCAAACCACAAAACUCUUUGAUAAACACUGUCGUCUGAGUUCAUUUUUUAAUAAAAAUAAA